GGAAAAAGGCGUGGCACAGGGUGUCGGCCGGGAAGAGAGGGGAUUGGGACCCAAUGGAGGAUGAAACCGGGAGGGGCGGGACCAGUAGACUUGUGGAGUGAGAAGAUAAGGAAGGGCUGUCUCCCUUGGAUGCCAAGCUGCUACUGGCUGAGGUUGGAGACAGUUUCAGCAGAAAACAGCAAGCUUUCUGCUUUGUUUCACUGAUCUUGUCCACUGAUCCUUACGUCUUUAGAAGAUUAGGAAAGGCUGUGACAAUACACAGUAAGUAUGAUAAACCAGACUGGGGAAGUUCACUGGAUGUUGCAGGCUGCCAACGGCCAUGCAGGAGGCACAACUAAUAGCUUUAGAAC
rnacentral:lncRNA from 1 species